GACGAACCGUACGAACGUUUAUUCGGAAUCACUGGGCUUAAAGGGCGCGUAGGCUGCGGGGCAAGUCGGGUGUGAAAUCUCAGAGCUCAACUCUGAAACUGCACUCGAUACUGCUUUGCUCGAGGACUGGAGAGGAGAUUGGAAUUCACGGUGUAGCAGUGAAAUGCGUAGAUAUCGUGAGGAAGACCAGUGGCGAAGGCGGAUCUCUGGACAGUUCCUGACGCUGAGGCGCGAAGGCCAGGGGAGCAAACGGGG
rnacentral:rRNA from 1 species